rnacentral:rRNA from 1 species
GACAGAGGUGCCAAGCGUUAGGCGGAAUCACUGGGCUUAAAGCGUGUGUAGGCGGGUGCCUAAGUACCUUGUGAAAUCCCACGGCUCAACCGUGGAACUGCUGGGUAUACUGGGUGCCUUGGGUCAUCUAGGGGCUGCCGGAACAAAUGGUGGAGCGGUGAAAUGCGUAGAUAUCAUUUGGAACGCCAACGGCGAAAGCAGGCAGCUGGGGAUGCACCGACGCUGAGACACGAAAGCGUGGGGAGCGAACCGG